GCCGCCAUCGUCUAACGGUGAGGACCUGAAGCUUUCAAUUUCAAAAUCGGGGUUCGACUCCCCGUGGCGGCACCA
rnacentral:tRNA from 2 species